rnacentral:rRNA from 1 species
CUGACCUCGGAUCAGGUAGGGAUACCCGCUGAACUUAAGCAUAUCAAU